AGCAGCCGCGGUAAUUCCAGCUCCAAUAGCGUAUAUUAAAGUUGUUGCAGUUAAAAGCUCGUAGUUGAAUUUCGGGAUUGACACAUCGGUCGUGCCUUAAGGGGUAUGAACUGGUGUAGUCAAUUUCUCACCUUCUGGAGAACCGCGAUGCCCUUAAUUGGGUGUCGCGGGGAACCAGGACCUUUACUUUGAAAAAAUUAGAGUGUUUAAAGCAGGCAUUUUGCUUGAAUACAUUAGCAUGGAAUAAUAAAAUAGGACGGCAUGAUUCUAUUUUGUUGGUUUCUAGGAUCACCGUAAUGAUUAAUAGGGAUAGUUGGGGGCAUUAGUAUUCAAUUGUCAGAGGUGAAAUUCUUGGAUUUAUUGAAGACUAACUACUGCGAAAGCAUUUGCCAAGGAUGUUUUCAUUAAUCAAGAACGAAAGUUAGGGGAUCGAAGACGAUCAGAUACCGUCGCAGUCUUAACCAUAAACUAUGCCGACUAGGAUCAGACGAUGUAAUUUUAAUGUACUCGUUUGGCACCU
rnacentral:misc_RNA from 1 species